AGUGAACGCUGGCGGCGUGCCUAAUACAUGCAAGUCGAACGGAGUGGCGCACGGGUGAGUAAUGUAUAGCUAAUCUGCCCUACACUAGAGGACAACAGUUGGAAACGACUGCUAAUACUCCAUAUUGUAGGAUGAGGGUAUAUUGUAUCAGGUAGUGGUUGAGGUAAUGGCUCACCAAGGCUAUGACGCAUAACUGGUCUGAGAGGAUGAGCAGCCGCACUGGAACUGAGACACGGUCCAGACUCAUACGGGAGGCAGCAGUAGGGUAUAUUGCGCAAUGGGGGAGACCCUGAAGCAGCAACGGCGCGUGGAGGAUGACACUUUGCGUAGCGUAAACUUCUUUUGAUAGGGAAGCGGUACCUAACGAAUAAGCACCGGCUAACUCCGUGCCAGCAGCCGCGGUAAUUC
rnacentral:rRNA from 1 species